GUAGAGUUUAACCUGGUCAUUAAGCUAAACACACACACAGCCGUAGAGUUUAACCUGGUCAUUAAGCUAAACACACACACAGCCGUAGAGUUUAACCUGGUCAUUAAGCUAAACACACACACAGCCGUAGAGUUUAACCUGGUCAUUAAGCUAAACACACACAGCCGUAGAGUUUAACCUGGUCAUUAAGCUAAACACACACAGCCGUAGAGUUUAACCUGGUCAUUAAGCUAAACACACACAGCCGUAGAGUUUAACCUGGUCAUUAAGGUAAACACACACACAGCCAUAGAGUUUAACCUGGUCAUUAAGGUAAACACACACACAGCCGUAGAGUUUAACCUGGUCAUUAAGCUAAACACACACACAGCCGUAGAGUUUAACCUGGUCAUUAAGCUAAACACACACACAGCCGUAGAGUUUAACCUGGUCAUUAAGCUAAACACACACACAGCCGUAGAGUUUAACCUGGUCAUUAAGCUAAACACACACACAGCCGUAGAGUUUAACCUGGUCAUUAAGCUAAACACACACACAGCC